ensembl:snRNA U1 U1 spliceosomal RNA
UCACCAACAGGUGCCAGAGGAAAUACCCUGGGCAGGGACACAGUUUUCUCAGGGUGAAGCUCAACCCUCACACUCCAAGCACGCGAAGUCCUGCAAUUUCUCCAAAUGCAGGAAACUUGGCUGCAUCAUUUGUGGCAGUAGGGAGUUGUAUUUGCACUCUCCCAG